rnacentral:tRNA from 1 species
UGGGUUGUGGCUCAGUGGUAGAGCUUUUGCCUAGCACCAGCACAUGUGAGGCACUAAGUUCAAUCCUCAGCACCACAU